AACGAACGCUGGCGGCAGGCUUAACACAUGCAAGUCGAGCGCCCCGCAAGGGGAGCGGCAGACGGGUGAGUAACGCGUGGGAACGUACCUUUUGGUUCGGAACAACUCCGGGAAACUGGAGCUAAUACCGGAUAAGCCCUAACGGGGAAAGAUUUAUCGCCGAAAGAUCGGCCCGCGUCUGAUUAGCUAGUUGGUGAGGUAACGGCUCACCAAGGCGACGAUCAGUAGCUGGUCUGAGAGGAUGAUCAGCCACACUGGGACUGAGACACGGCCCAGACUCCGACGGGAGGCAGCAGUGGGGAAUAUUGGACAAUGGGCGCAAGCCUGAUACAGCCAUGCCGCGUGAGUGAUGAAGGCCUUAGGGUUGUAAAGCUCUUUUGUCCGGGAAGAUAAUGACUGUACCGGAAGAAUAAGCCCCGGCUAACUUCGUG
rnacentral:rRNA from 1 species